GAUGAAGAACGUAGCGAAAUGCGAUAAGUAAUGUGAAUUGCAGAAUUCAGUGAAUCAUCGAAUCUUUGAACGCACAUUGUGCCCGCCAGCAUUCUGGCGGGCAUGCCUGUUCGAGCGUCAUUUCAACCCUCGAGCCCCCCCGGGGGCCUCGGUGUUGGGGGACGGCACACCAGCCGCCCCCGAAAUGCAGUGGCGACCCCGCCGCAGCCUCCCCUGCGUAGUAGCACACACCUCGCACCGGAGCGCGGAGGCGGUCACGCCGUAAAACGCCCAACUUUCUUAGAGUUGACCUCGGAUCAGGUAGGAAUACCCGCUGAACUUAAGCAUAUCAAUAAGCGGAGGA
rnacentral:misc_RNA from 1 species